rnacentral:rRNA from 1 species
AGAGUUUGAUCCUGGCUCAGGAUGAACGCUAGCUACAGGCUUAACACAUGCAAGUCGAGGGGAAACGAUAUUGGAAGCUUGCUUCCGAUAGGCGUCGACCGGCGCACGGGUGAGUAACGCGUAUCCAACCUGCCCAUCACUUGGGGAUAACCUUGCGAAAGUAAGACUAAUACCCAAUGACGUCUCUAGAAGACAUCUGAAGGAGAUUAAAGAUUUAUCGGUGAUGGAUGGGGAUGCGUCAGAUUAGCUUGUUGGCGGGGUAACGGCCCACCAAGGCUACGAUCAGUAGGGGUUCUGAGAGGAAGGUCCCCCACAUUGGAACUGAGACACGGUCCAAACUCCUACGGGAGGCAGCAGUGAGGAAUAUUGGUCAAUGGACGAGAGUCUGAACCAGCCAAGUAGCGUGCAGGAUGACGGCCCUAUGGGUUGUAAACUGCUUUUAUAAGGGAAUAAAGUGAGCCUCGUGAGGCUUUUUGCAUGUACCUUAUGAAUAAGGACCGGCUAAUUCCGUGCCAGCAGCCGCGGUAAUACGGAAGGUCCGGGCGUUAUCCGGAUUUAUUGGGUUUAAAGGGAGCGUAGGCCGGAGAUUAAGCGUGUUGUGAAAUGUAGACGCUCAACGUCUGCACUGCAGCGCGAACUGGUUUCCUUGAGUACGCACAAAGUGGGCGGAAUUCGUGGUGUAGCGGUGAAAUGCUUAGAUAUCACGAAGAACUCCGAUUGCGAAGGCAGCUCACUGGAGCGCAACUGACGCUGAAGCUCGAAAGUGCGGGUAUCGAACAGGAUUAGAUACCCUGGUAGUCCGCACGGUAAACGAUGGAUGCCCGCUGUUGGUCUGAAUAGGUCAGCGGCCAAGCGAAAGCAUUAAGCAUCCCACCUGGGGAGUACGCCGGCAACGGUGAAACUCAAAGGAAUUGACGGGGGCCCGCACAAGCGGAGGAACAUGUGGUUUAAUUCGAUGAUACGCGAGGAACCUUACCCGGGCUUGAAUUGCAGAGGAAGGAUUUGGAGACAAUGACGCCCUUCGGGGCCUCUGUGAAGGUGCUGCAUGGUUGUCGUCAGCUCGUGCCGUGAGGUGUCGGCUUAAGUGCCAUAACGAGCGCAACCCCUCUCCUUAGUUGCCAUCAGGUUAAGCUGGGCACUCUGGGGACACUGCCACCGUAAGGUGUGAGGAAGGUGGGGAUGACGUCAAAUCAGCACGGCCCUUACGUCCGGGGCUACACAC